UUCAGAAUUGCAGUGCAAGCUUCCUGUCUUACAUUACCUUGCAAGAAAAAAAUGACUUCCGGAUAGAAAGACAGAUAGAUAGACAGACAGAUAGACAGUUAGACAGACAGAUAGAUAGAUGAUAGAUGAUUUCUAUGUGUACAUAUGUGUGAACAAGUAGACCACAUUCAGUAAAAAUUCACAGGGAAAUCAUGAGAAUUUUCAUUACAGCACAAAGAGGUUUGCAAUAACUUUGAUCUGAUAUAGAAUAUUCAAUGCUUUACAUCUCUCUGGGAAGGAAGUGGAAACACGCUGUGGUUAAGGGUCUCUGCAUUUUGCUGAAACCUUUAGUUGGUUUGACACCAUUGCGAAAGACUGACACAAUGAAGCAAGUAAUUUUCUUCUUCUGUGUAUUUUCUUAUUGGAUUACACAAAUCACAUCCAAUGGUAAAUAUGUUAAUUUCAUAAUGUUUGAAAAAGAAUAUAACAACCUCAAAUACAAUAGCUAUUAACAUAACAUUAUUAAAAUGAUCUGCUUUUAUCUUUAUAAAUUUCUCUCCAGAUGCGUCAGUACAAGGAUCUUCUGAUCUGUUAAGAGUUCAACUGGAAGAAAACGUCAGUCUGAACUGCAGCAUGACAGAUCAACAUGACAUCGCCUGGUAUCACCUCAGAUCUGACCGAUUCAAUCAACUGAUUGCGGCAGAAAAGGAUGAAACAGGAAGAAAACUUCUGGUCACCUACAAUCAAAACAGCAUUCGUCUGAUAAUUACUGCAGACUGGCGGAUCACCACAGUGACUUUAACUAUUUCUGGAGUAACAGAGUCAGAUUCUGGUCUUUAUUUCUGUGGAACAAAGUCUGGCACUACAGAGAUGUACUUCAACAAACCCAUCAGACUAGAGAUCCAGGGUCUUUCUGUAACAGAAGAACCAAAAGAAGUUGACAUCACAGGUAACAUGUUGGUUAUCUUGGUCGAUAAUUUAAUUUUUCAUGUUCUAACUUUGGAAAUCCAGCACUAUUCUAGUCAUCAGUUAACACUUUCUGGUUACAAAUAUGAAUUAUUCCUGUCUGUCUAUAGAUGGAGUGACUACGAAAGAGAGGGCAAUGAUGUUCGGUGGUGUUGGUCUGGCUGUGCUUGUGUUUUUUCUGGCUACAGUCUUUGCAGGAGGAAUCAUUCACUAUCGAGGUUGGCAGAAAGGAUGGGCCGCAGCCAAACGCUCAUCUCUGAUUCAUCACAAAUCAGAUAAAUGAUACAUUUAUGUGCUUUAUUUUACAGUCUGAGCUUUGCACUGCCAGUUAAAUCAGCAUUACUGCAGGUUACCACAAAUAAAACAGAAAACUGUGACCUAGAUGCCUUUCCU
ensembl:lncRNA